rnacentral:rRNA from 1 species
GAUGAACGCUGGCGGCGUGCCUAAUACAUGCAAGUCGAGCGAACAGACGAGGAGCUUGCUCCUCUGACGUUAGCCGAAGACGGGUGAGUAACACGUGGAUAACCUCCCUAUCAGACGGGGAUAACUUCGAGAAACCGGAGCUAAUACCGGAUAAUAUAUUGAACCGCAUUGUUCAAUAGUAAAAUACGGCUUUUCGGGCACUUAUAGCUGGUUCCGCGCCGCAUUAGCUAGUUGGUAAGUUAACGGGUUACCAAGGCAACGAUGCGUAGACGAAGUGAGAGGGGGGUCGGCCACCCGGGAAGUGGGACGCGGACCAGAGUCCUAAGAGAGGGACCAGUAGGGAAUCUGACGCAAUGGGCGAAAGCCUGACGGAGUAACGGGGCGUGAGUGAUGAAGGUCUUCGGAUCGUAAAACUCUGUUAUUAGGGAAGAACAAAUGUGUAAGUAACUAUGGACGUCUUGACGGUACCGAAUCAGAAAGCCACGGCUAACUACGUG